GACGAACGCUGGCGGCGCGCUUAACACAUGCCAGUCGAACGGAAAGGCCUGCUUUCCCUUGUGGAUUGCGGGUACUCGAGUGGCGAACGGGUGAGUAACACGUGAGUGAUCUGCCCCCAACUUGGGUAUAAGCCUGGGAAACUGGGUCUAAUUCCCGAUAGGACUGCAGGGUGGUGCCUGUGGUGGAAAACGAUUUUCUAGUGGUUGGGGAUGAGCUCGCGGCCUAUCAGCUUGUUGGUGGGGUAAUGGCCUACCAAGGCGGCGACGGGUAGCCGGCCUGGGAGGGUGGACGGCCACAUUGGGACUGAGAUACGGCCCAGACUCCGACGGGAGGCAGCAGUGGGGAAUAUUGCACAAUGGGCGGAAGCCUGAUGCAGCGACGCCGCGUGGGGGAUGACGGCCUUCGGGUUGUAAACUCCUUUCGACCGCGAGGAAGCCACCUGGUUGGAAGGGUGGUGACGGUAGUGGUAGAAGAAGCACCGGCUAACUACGU
rnacentral:rRNA from 1 species